UGGAGGGGGAGGCAGCACAAAGAGAUCUGAUGAACAGGGCUUUUAGUCCACUCUAAAAUGGAUCUUAGACUAUCUCAAGCUGUGCACUGCAGCGAGGAGUUUGGAACUGAGAGAAAGAGCUAUGAACAUGUAUCAGAAGAGA